rnacentral:rRNA from 1 species
CGUAGCAAUACGUCAGCGGCAGACGGGUGAGUAACGCGUGGGAACGUACCUUUUGGUUCGGAACAACACAGGGAAACUUGUGCUAAUACCGGAUAAGCCCUUACGGGGAAAGAUUUAUCGCCGAAAGAUCGGCCCGCGUCUGAUUAGCUAGUUGGUAGGGUAACGGCCUACCAAGGCGACGAUCAGUAGCUGGUCUGAGAGGAUGAUCAGCCACAUUGGGACUGAGACACGGCCCAAACUCCUACGGGAGGCAGCAGUGGGGAAUAUUGGACAAUGGGCGCAAGCCUGAUCCAGCCAUGCCGCGUGAGUGAUGAAGGCCCUAGGGUUGUAAAGCUCUUUUGUGCGGGAAGAUAAUGACGGUACCGCAAGAAUAAGCCCCGGCUAACUUCGUGCCAGCAGCCGCGGUAAUACGAAGGGGGCUAGCGUUGCUCGGAAUCACUGGGCGUAAAGGGUGCGUAGGCGGGUCUUUAAGUCAGGGGUGAAAUCCUGGAGCUCAACUCCAGAACUGCCUUUGAUACUGAGGAUCUUGAGUUCGGGAGAGGUGAGUGGAACUGCGAGUGUAGAGGUGAAAUUCGUAGAUAUUCGCAAGAACACCAGUGGCGAAGGCGGCUCACUGGCCCGAUACUGACGCUGAGGC